rnacentral:rRNA from 1 species
AACGAACGCUGGCGGCAUGCCUAACACAUGCAAGUCGAACGAUGGCUUCGGCCAUAGUGGCGCACGGGUGAGUAACGCGUGGAAACCUGCCUUUUGGUUUGGGAUAACUCCGGGAAACUGGAGCUAAUACCGGAUGAGCCCGAGCAAUCGGGGAAAGAUUUAUCGCCAAAAGAGGGGCCCGCGUCCGAUUAGGUAGUUGGUGGGGUAACGGCCUACCAUGCCUACGAUCGGUAGCUGGUCUGAGAGGAUGAUCAGCCACACUGGGACUGAGACACGGCCCAGACUCCUACGGGAGGCAGCAGUGGGGGAAUAUUGGACAAUGGGCGCAAGCCUGAUCCAGCAAUGCCGCGUGGAUGAUGAGGCCUUAGGGUUGUAAGUCCUUUCGGCGGGGACGAGUGAUGACGGUACCCGCAGAAGAAG